rnacentral:rRNA from 1 species
UACGUAGGGUGCGAGCGUUAAUCGGAAUUACUGGGCGUAAAGCGUGCGCAGGCGGCGCGUUAAGACAGGUGUGAAAGCCCCGAGCUUAACUUGGGAAUUGCGCUUGUGACUGGCGAGCUGGAGUGUGGCAGAGGGAGGUGGAAUUCCACGUGUAGCAGUGAAAUGCGUAGAGAUGUGGAGGAACACCGGUGGCGAAGGCGGGUCUCUGGGCAAUUCCUGACGCUGAGGCGCGAAAGCGUGGGGAGCAAACAGG